GCGCGGAGCCGGCGACAGGUGGAGCGCAGCCGAGCCUUGCCCUGCUCCCUGCUCCCUGCUCCCUGCUCCCUGCUCCCUGCUCCGUGCGCGCUCCCGGCCCACCAUGGGCAACAGCGCGGGUCGCAGCGACUUCGAGUGGGUCUACACCGACCAGCCGCACACGCAGCGCCGGAAGGAGAUGCUGGCCAAGUACCCGGCCAUCAAGGCCCUGAUGCGGCCGGACCCUCAUCUCAAGUGGACGGUGCUGGGGCUGGUGCUGGUGCAGCUGCUGGCCUGCUGGCUGGUGCGGGGGCUGGCGUGGCGCUGGCUGCUCUUCUGGGCCUACGCCUUUGGCGGCUGCGUGAACCACUCGCUGACGCUGGCCAUCCACGACAUCUCGCACAACACGGCCUUCGGCACGGGCCGCGCCGCCCACAACCGCUGGUUCGCCGUCUUCGCCAACCUGCCCGUGGGCGUGCCCUACGCCGCCUCCUUCAAGAAGUACCACGUGGACCACCACCGCUACCUGGGCGGCGACGGGCUGGACGUGGACGUGCCCACGCGCCUGGAGGGCUGGCUCUUCUGCACGCCGGCCCGGAAGCUGCUCUGGCUGGUGCUGCAGCCCCUGUUCUACUCCCUGCGGCCGCUCUGCGUGAACCCCAAGGCCCUGACGCGCAUGGAGGUGUUCAACGCCCUGGUCCAGCUGGCGGCCGACGCGGCCAUCUUCGCCCUCUGGGGGCUCAAGCCCGUGGUCUACCUGCUGGCCAGCACCCUGCUGGGCCUGGGCCUGCACCCCAUCUCCGGCCACUUCGUGGCUGAGCACUACAUGUUCGUCAAGGGCCACGAGACCUACUCCUACUAUGGGCCCCUCAACUGGAUCACCUUCAACGUGGGCUACCACAUGGAGCACCACGACUUCCCCAGCAUCCCCGGUUGCAACCUGCCCCUGGUUCCUGCUGCCAAGCAAGCAAGUGACCAUGCGGGAAUGGAGCCUGUGAUCUGGGCCCACAAAUCAGAGUCACCUUGCCAAGGCCACACAGGAACUGGUGGCAGAGCUAGGACCAGUGCCCAGGACGAAUGUCACCCAGUCCAGGGCUGUGUCUACUCCAGCAUGCUGUGCCCAGCAGCACCCCCCUGCCCCAGCUUAGCAGCAGACACACUCCGACUGCCUCCCUUGUUGAACACCAGCUCAGUUCAGGACACACAACAAGCCUUUAAAAGAAUUGCAAACGGAACGAAGUGCAAUAAAAACCGGCCACCUCGACGGUGUGACAAAGCUCCUGCGCAACAUUUUUUUGAUUAAUCUGCUCAACUAUCCAGGGCAGGGCCCAUCAGACCUAUUUAUAGAUGGGGAAACUGAGGCUCGGACAGGGCGACUGACUCGCCCAAGGCCACUUGCGCCUCAAGUGACCGGUGCUGCCGGGACAAGAGUCCUCAUGUCCCGAGGCCCCGUCUGCACGCUGCUGUUUCCGCCCGCCCGUCCUGCAAAGCCUGCGUGUAAACAGCUUCCAAGCCCUCUAUGGGUCAGUGGCAGCUGCCUGGCUCCUGCAGUGGGAAACCGAUCCUCGGGCGCCCGUCAGAUGGGCUUCACACUUCAAUCUUUAAUGCGGCUUCCCAGCUAACCUAUCAGAACCCUCCUGUCUACCCGAUUCCAGGGAGCCCUGGGGGCCCGGGGGAGGGUCUGCCAGAGGAAACCUCCUGCCACGGCUCUCCUCUGGUCCCCUGUGGGCGAUGGGAUGAGACAGGUGGGCCCGGAGCCAAAGGGAACAGGUGACCGGCCAAAGGAAGAACCCCGGGCGCUGUUCAGCUGGGCUACCCCUUCCACCUCGGGCCAUCCAGGCGUCCCUGCGGGCUGUUCCUUGGCCUACCUUUCCUCACCAUCGUACCCACUGCUAUCCGAAGCUGCUCCCGAGAGCCCCGUUUGUUUUUUUUACCAGCAUGACCAGCUCCAAGGCCCGCAGGAAACGGAUCCCUCAACCUGCCAGGAAGCUCAUCUGCACCUCCCCAACUGGCAAACCCACAGGUCCACAGGAGUAACUCGGGUCCAGGCUGGGCUUCUGUCCCCAUGGAGCACUCCCGGGUCCUCUCCCAGCCCCCUGCUCUGUCCUAAGGAUUGCACUCACUGCCCACAUGGAGCUGCAGUUCACCCCCCUGAACCAUGAGCUCCUUGAGAGGGAAGCUCAGGGCCUGGCACAACGUACGCAGAGAACGUCUGUGGGUCAUGCCCAAACUCGGCAUCACCUCCAAGUCUCCCUGUCCGACACCAAGUCAGCACCUUCUCACAAAAGCCACGGCUGUUUCCCGGUCCCCUGUGGUUUCUCCUGCUCUCCGCCCUCUGCUUGUCCCCAGAGGGGACAGAGACAGCAGAAAGUGCUGUUUCUCCCGCAGACUGUCUUUCAGGUCACCUUCUCUGCCCUGCCUAGAUCCCAGACGCAUGCUCUCCUACUGGGGAGCCCCCACCUGGUCUCUGUGCCCCAGGCUCGUACCUUUGAGCCCCUGCUUUCACGUGAAACAGAAAGCUUAGCUCCUCCAUGCUGUUCCCCAGCCAGGAAACCAGUGGCUCCCGCUGGCUCCCCUGGGAAAUCCUGCUUGGGGACCUGAGGCCUCCUACACUCUGACUUGCCUGGCCCAGCCCCCGCUGCCUCCUUCAGCCCUGUGUCCCCACUAGCGACCUGCCGGGGCCAGGCACCAUCUCCCUUACAGUCUUCCCUCGUGGAUACUGAUUGCUCCCUCUUCACCUCCCUGGACUAAAAUGCAACUGUGCAAAACACAAAUGAGUCUGCGAGGCACAAAGCUGGACUUUAAAGGAAUUUGGGGAGCCCCACUCCCUGCCUAGAAAGGUCAUCUGAUGGCUGGCAUCUCCUCUCCCAACUCAGGGUUCACACGGGCCCUGCCUAUCCAAAUCCUUCCCCAGACAAUUAGCAUAUUGAUUCUAGUGGGCUCUACACCCUGAGCAGAGAGUCACUUUCCCUCCCUGGGACUUAAUCCGCGCCCCUCCACCCCCUGGGCUGUGCCGGAGAGGAGGCAUCAGAUGCUGGCAGCAGCAGCGCCCAGCGCCUACUGACUGCUCACCAGGCUCCAGGCACUGUUCUGAGCACGUGGACUGAAGCCACUUAGAGCUAAAUGGAGUCCUGGCUCUGUCAGUUACUCUGUGACCUUGGGCAGGUUACUGAACCUAACUCUGUUUCAUGUCUGAAAAUUAACCAAAGCACCACUUGUCUUGGUGUGUGGAUCAAUGGCACGCUGAUCAGCCUAGAGUGGAUACAGUGCAACUCGACAAUCCCUGUCUCUUUCCCUGCUUGGUAGUUCUGAGUGGUUAGCAUUUCAUAGUAAAAGCUGUCCAUUAAGUUCUCAUAACACAUCGCACGAAGGGGCCAGGAGUGGCUAUCGUUACCCCACUGGGCCAUGGAUGCCCAGAGAGAGGAAAAACUUGCCUGCAUAAAAUUAGUGAGUGACAGCCGGAACCGGACCAGGGCCUGCAGCCUCAACCCCAUGCGGUCCCAAUAGCACCCUGUCUCUGGGGAGCCACCUCUACCACGGGUUCUGUUGUGAAAACUCCCAAAGGAGAGGCCUCAGGGCGGUACCCAGUGGUCAGACAUCCAACUUGAGACCCGCCUUCCAGCAACGGGCCACUUGGCCUCCAGGAGCAGCACAGGGGCAUGUCAGGAGGAAGGCGCUGGAUACACUGAAAGUGAAGCUGUAACCAGACCUGGGACGGGGGCCCAGCAGAUCCCUGUGUUAAUUCUCCAUCACUCCCCACCAGAGAAGCUGUGCUGGAUGGGGUCACAGACUCUCCUGCCCUCCCUACCCUGGCGGAGCUGGAUGCCCAGGAGGGGAGUAAUGACAUUUCAACAUCAGUGUGUGCAAAAGGGGUCAGGAGGGACAAGUGCCACUGAAACCAGGUGGCUGGCUGGGUUUGAACCCGAUUCUGCCGGGGUCCGACGUUCCGAGCCAGUUUCUCCGUCUCUAAGAUGAGGGUCUUGGCUGAUAUGACCACAGGGCCCUUUCUCAUACCAUGAGCCUAUGAGUUUGUUAAUGAAAUGUAUUUGUUUCUUCAACAAGUACUUAUUCCCAAUUUUCACUCCAGUGGAGGGAAGGUAUUUCCAGAACAGAUCUCCAAGAACAUGCUGUUAAUGAUGCUGGCCACACCUGCUCUGCUAGAGGCCCGUACACUCCCUGACUCUACUCCUGAACUGGAAUGGCCCUUCCAACUCAGGGGUGGGCACCCCAACAGCUUGGUGUGCUCUGGGGGUAAUAUGUGGAGAAACAGGGAGGAUGCUGACCAUCCUUCUACACUGAAUGGUCAAUAGUUCAAAACAGGGAAAUAUUCAUAAAGUAGAAAUAAAAUCUGCAUGAGUUUUUACAACACAAGACUUUCCAGGGCUCAGGAGACUGGGGGUCACUUUAGGCCACACACACACCAGACAGAAGAAAGGCAGGCUGCUGGGAUGUAACCUGACCGGGAAUCGAACCAGCAACUUUUCAGUGCAUGGGAUGCUGCUCCAACCACCUGAGCCAUACUCACCAGGGCAGGACCUGCUCCUUUUCUUAAGGAGGGUGGGAGUUAGCCCUGGGGGCGUCACCACUUUGUCCCACACCGAUCACGACUCGCCAUGCAGGGGGUGAGAGCCUAGGAAAGUGUCUCGGGACUGGGUGCCCCAGCAGCAGCCUGCUUCCUUAUGGUGCUGACGGCUUAGAAGCCAUGUCCCCAUCUGCUUGACCAUCCCAGCCUCACAGCUUUGUAGGCGGCCAGUAGGUCAUUGUAAAGCUGAGGAAACUAAGGCUCGGGGUGGUGAAACGGCCUGCUCAAGGUGCCAUGGCUGCUCUCUGUCAUGGCCUGGAGCAUGGGACUGGCACCCUGUCAUCUGCUCCCGGAGUUUGUGUCAUUUUGUCAGUCACCGGUGUUGCCCAUCGCUGCUCACUGUGCCCAACCCAAGGCUCAUUAGGCAGGCCUGGCGAGACAGCAUUUCGUGGGAACCAUUUGCUAUCUCACCACCUGACUGGGCGUGGUGCCCAGGCUGACCUAUGGAAAACUAAACGGCCCAAAGACUUCUUCUGUUAGUGCCAGGGAGAGAAUUCCGGGGCUGGUGGAAGGAGGUACUUCUCCAGGGGCGAGGGAAGCGCACACACACCAGCAUCUUUAAAGGAAGAGAAUGGCAGCAGCAGGGUGUUCAGAAGGUAGGAGUCCCCAGGAGGGAUACAAAGUCCCACCAAUGUGCAGAGGGAGACCCCAAGGGUCAGGCAGAACCUCUUCUGGGACCCCCAAACCACCGAGAUCUGCCUGGUCCACCAGAAUCCUCCUUACCAUCUGGUCCUCCCCACCUACCCUCAACCCCACAGGCUCAGGCCAAACCCUGCCCACCUGGUCCUCCCCACCUACCCUCAACCCUGCAGGCUCAGGCCAAGCCCUGCCCACCUGGUCCUCCCCACCUACCCUCAACCCUGCAGGCUCAGGCCAAGCCCUGCUUUCCUCACCCCGCGUCCCAAAGCACAGGCUGCGGCAUCACCCCAGGAGCUGGUAUGGUUAACUUUUCAAAUAUUAAAGAAAAGAGUAGCCCUAACUGGUUUAGCUCAGUGGAUAGAGCAUCAGCCUGCGGACUCAAGGGUCCCAGGUUCGAUUCUGGUCAAGGGCAUGUACCUUGGUUGC